rnacentral:rRNA from 1 species
UACGAAGGGGGCUAGCGUUGCUCGGAAUUACUGGGCGUAAAGCGCGUGUAGGCGGCUUUGCAAGUCGGGUGUGAAAGCCCUCAGCUCAACUGAGGAAGUGCGCCCGAAACUGCAGAGCUUGAGUACCGGAGAGGAUGGUGGAAUUCCCCAAGUAGAGGUGAAAUUCGUAGAUAUGGGGAGGAACACCGGUGGCGAAGGCGACCAUCUGGACGGAUACUGACGCUGAGACGCGAAAGCGUGGGGAGCAAACAGG